AAUGAACGCUGGCGGCAGGCCUAAAACAUGCAAGUCGAACGCUGUAGCAAUACAGAGUGGCGCACGGGUGAGUAACACGUGGGAAUGUGCCUUUUGGUACGGAAUAGCUUCGGGAAACUGGAAUUAAUACCGUAUGGUCCUCGGGUAAGGAUUUAUCGCCAAAAGAGCAGCCGCGUCUGAUUAGCUAGUUGGUGAGGUAAUGGCUUACCAAGGCGACGAUCAGUAGCUGGUCUGAGAGGACGAUCAGCCACACUGGGACUGAGACACGGCCCAGACUCCUACGGGAGGCAGCAGUUAGGAAUAUUGGACAAUGGGCGCAAGCCUGAUCCAGCCAUGCCGCGUGAGUGAUGAAGGCCUUCGGGUUGUAAAGCUCUUUAGCCGACGAAUAUAAUGACUGUAGUCGGAAAAUAAGCCCGCCGCUAACUUCGUGCCAGCAGCCGCGGUAAUACGAGGGGC
rnacentral:rRNA from 1 species